rnacentral:pre_miRNA from 1 species
ACUACUAUUGCUAGACCCUAAGGUAAGAGAUGUUUAAUUUUGUAAAAAACUGCCAAAUUUUCUUCUAAAGUCGCUGUACCAAUUUGCAUGUCCAACAGCAAU